rnacentral:rRNA from 1 species
UGAGGAAUAUUGGUCAAUGGGCGUGAGCCUGAACCAGCCAAGUAGCGUGCGGGAUGAAGGCCCUUGUGGUCGUAAACCGCUUUUAUCAGUGAAUAAAGUGCACCACGUGUGGUGUCAUUGCAGGUAGCUGAAGAAAAAGGACCGGCUAAUUCCGUGCCAGCAGCCGCGGUAAUACGGAAGGUCCGGGCGUUAUCCGGAAUUAUUGGGUUUAAAGGGAGCGCAGGCGGGAGUGUAAGUCAGCUGUUAAAUAUCAGGGCCCAACUCUGUUAUGCAGUUGAAACUAUAUUUCUUGAGUACGCACAGGGAUGGCGGAAUUCAGGGUGUAGCGGUGAAAUGCUUAGAUAUCCUGAAGAACUCCGAUCGCGAAGGCAGCCAUCCGGAGCGUAACUGACGCUGAGGCUCGAAGGUGCGGGUAUCAAACAGGAUUAGAUACCCUGGUAGUCCGCACGGUAAACGAUGAAUACUCGCAGUUCGGUUAUUAUGGUCGAGCUGUCCAGCGAAAGCGUUAAGUAUUCCACCUGGGGAGUACGCCGGCACGGU